rnacentral:rRNA from 1 species
CAGCAGCCGCGGUAAUACGGAGGGUGCAAGCGUUAAUCGGAAUUACUGGGCGUAAAGCGCACGCAGGCGGUUUGUUAAGUCAGAUGUGAAAUCCCCGAGCUUAACUUGGGAACUGCAUUUGAAACUGGCAAGCUAGAGUCUUGUAGAGGGGGGUAGAAUUCCAGGUGUAGCGGUGAAAUGCGUAGAGAUCUGGAGGAAUACCGGUGGCGAAGGCGGCCCCCUGGACAAAGACUGACGCUCAGGUGCGAAAGCGUGGGGAGCAAACAGGAUUAGAUACCCGAGUAGUCCCUGUCUCUUAUAA